UGAACGCUGGCGGCGUGCCUACUACAUGCAAGUCGAGCGAACAGACGAGGAGCUUGCUCCUCUGACGUUAGCGGCGGACGGGUGAGUAACACGUGGAUAACCUACCUAUAAGACUGGGAUAACUUCGGGAAACCGGAGCUAAUACCGGAUAAUAUAUUGAACCGCAUGGUUCAAUAGUGAAAGACGGUUUUGCUGUCACUUAUAGAUGGAUCCGCGCCGCAUUAGCUAGUUGGUAAGGUAACGGCUUACCAAGGCAACGAUGCGUAGCCGACCUGAGAGGGUGAUCGGCCACACUGGAACUGAGACACGGUCCAGACUCCUACGGGAGGCAGCAGUAGGGAAUCUUCCGCAAUGGGCGAAAGCUUGACGGAGCAACGCCGCGUGAGUGAUGAAGGUCUUCGGAUCGUAAAACUCUGUUAUUAGGGAAGAACAAAUGUGUAAGUAACUAUGCACGUCUUGACGGUACCUAAUCAGAAAGCCACGGCUAACUACGUG
rnacentral:rRNA from 1 species